ACAGCUAACAGGAAUGAUGAUCUGUUUUCUAUUUCCCCAAUCAUGUUGCUUCUUGCUUCUGAUGUGCUUGAUGUGGAAGAAAUCAGUGGUGACGAUUCUUUCUUUGCCUCACGUUUCAUAAGUGAUUGGUAGAACUCAACAACUUCUGGAGCACGAUGAACUUUAUCUCCACUUCCUGCUCCUCUAGGAAGUGAUCCUGGGGGAGGAGGUGGACGAGGUGGUCCACCAGGUGGCGGUGGAGGUGGUGGAGCACCUGGUGGAGGAGGUGGAGCACCUCCAGUAUGAACAUUCUUAUUUGAAUCUGCAGGAGCACCUGAUGAUGCUUUAGGAGGUGGACGGGGGACUCU
rnacentral:lncRNA from 1 species